UUGGCACAGAGCUGUCUGCUGCCAUCUGUAAGGAGAUGCCAUGCUCUUCCCAAGCACCAUGUGUCUGUAGGUGGAUACAAACAUUUCAAGAACAGAUGGAUGAUGUCUCAGAACACAAAUCCUGCAAGCAACUUGACUCUUCUGAAGUCAGGACAGGGUCAAUUAUCUACAUUCUGUGGCUGCAGUAUAUUAAGGGUGUUUUUCUUCCCCCCACUGGGGUUACAUCCUCGGCACUGACAGCAGCUCAGAGUCUGAGUUGUUCCCGUGCUGCUGCUGAGAGGUUGGUGUGACUGUUGCCAGCUUUACUAUGGAGGAAUAUCUGGAUGCAGAAAGCUCUAAUGCAGCAAAGAGCAGGACAGGAUCCUUUCAUAGCUUGGCAAUGGUACAAGUAAAAAAAGAUCCUGGCUAAAAGAAGCCUGACUUUUC